CGAGGCCAACCUGGUCUACGAACUGGAACACAUCAAGAAAAGCCAUUUCUCUGAUAGCCUCAUUCUUGCCAAAAGACUGGAAAAUAACUUAUUAGAGAGCCGGCCAUCUCAGGAGCCACAACAACAGCUGCACUGAAUAGAGAACUCGCCGAACGACCGGACACUGUGAAACGAGAUUGACAGAAGCCCACGAAGUCCUCCUUCCAAGCCUCACUUUGAUCUUCCUAACAGAGGUUGUCAGGGGGGAACCCGGAUGCCUCCAUGAUCAGGACGACUUAGCUUGUCUGCUCAUGGCUGAAUUGUCUUUGUAGUCUUUGCGUUUGUGCUACUUGAGGUCACAGCUAAAUUAACAAUGAGGGCUCGUGGCUGAAUGUUACUUUUAGAAUCUCUUUAUAGUUUACAUUUCAAGAUUGUUAAUUAGGCCAUGCAGCCUAUUGGAGAGAUAAAGCCAGUUCAAAAUAUAUGUGUGUAUUUAUGAAGUGACGCUAUUCUAUAAAAGGUAAAGUGUGCUAGCGUCAAGGAAUGCAGGAUUUACAAUACUCAGUCCCAUCACACUACUGAAUAGUUUGUAAGGUAACAAAACGGGCAGCUUAGAGCUGCAGUAUUUGCCAGAUAUACAAAUUUCGUAGGGAUUGUUUGUGCAUAUCGACUGUUCUGACGUCCUUCAGCAGGCUGGCAAUAGCAUUAAUGGAACAUUUCCUUUGUACCAGAGAUUUUAAAAAUUUAAAAAUGAUUUUAAAUGAAGGAAGAGAGAAAUCUAAUUCUUUUUCUUUCUUUUCUUUUUAUAACAUCGUUCUUGGUUCCCGGGAGAUGAUAAAGUGGGUAAGAGAUGUCCUUUCUGUGUUUGCUUGAGGACCUCAGUUCAGAUCCCCAGCAUCAACAUUAAGCACAAAAGCUAGACAUGACCACAUGGAACAAUAGCACUGCGGAAGAGGAGGGUGGAGACAGACAGGUGGAUGGCUGGGGCUUUUAGUCCAGACACACACACACACACACACACACACACACACACACAGAGAGAGAGAGAGAGAGAGAGAGAGAGAGAGAGAGAGAGAGAGAGAGAGAGAGAGAGAUUGUCUCAGGAAAAUAAGGUGGAGAUGAAUUUACAAUAACAGCCAACAUCCUUUUUUGGCCUGUACACAUAUGCAGGCUUACAUACACACUUGCUAGUUUCAUUCAAAGAUUUAAAAGUUAAAACUAAAUGUUAC
rnacentral:lncRNA from 1 species